AUUUCGCUAUGUUGACACUUUCUAACUAUCUCCUUAAACCUCUCCCAUGCUUUAAACACGGUUUCAAUCUCAUUUUGGUAGAAGUUUUGGAUUUCUCUUCUAAACCU
rfam:Nicotiana attenuata strain TT chromosome 6, whole genome shotgun sequence.